UGGAACUCAGGUCUUCCUGACUCCAGGCUCAGCACUUAUAACCACUGCACCACCUAGCUGCCCCAAUCAGAGUGUCAGAAGUAUGGCUUGUGGGCCACAAAAAAAUCUAAUUUGCCACAAAAGCAACUGAGGCAGGAGCUCUGAGCACAGGUCAAUUUACUAGGGAGACUGGCAGUCCCUAAUUAACUGGAUCCAAGACCUUCCUUUUGGAUCACCAUCUGUGGAGUUUUAUUGACCUUCAAAGGUCAUGAAUGAACAUUACAAGUUCAUGAUUGGUCAACUCCAGGAGUAGGGAUUCAUAUGAUUGGCUAAGGGGCAGAAGCAGAUGAAAUCACCUCAUAUUUGGCUAAAGGAAGAAGUUUCCAUACUUGGACAGGAGAGAUGUCCAUCAAUCAUUAACACUUUGUCAGUAGCAUUCAGAGGCUUUCCACAGGUCAUGGGACCCUGUCAGCAAGGUCUUGAGCCUUCCACAUUGCAUGUCAUCAGGCACCUUCAGGACAAACAAGUAUGCUGUGGAAAGAUGGUCAGCACUUUCCACAAGCCAUCGGAACCUUAUUUCAAGCAUGGUGCACUUAGAAGUAUGAUUGGGGGGCAGGGGUGGAGAGGGAGGCGCAUCAGUGCUAAUACAGUAGCACAAGCUAAGAGAAAUCCUUAUAACAGGCCUCACUAACACAGCAUAAAUCUGCCCUGUACAUCAAUCACAAGUAACAGGAUCAUCAAAACAUGGGUCUCAGUUAACCCUCUUCUAGAAAUGGAGAAGUCGGAGCAGCUGAUUUCUAACGUCCUUGCCAGGUCCAAACUCAUGGCACCAGAUUCUUGGAUUACAGACUGUGGAACAGAAAUGUGACUGUUCUCUGAGGACACAUGGGACACUCCCAUUUAUCUGGUAGGCCCUGGCUGUCAAGAGCACCAAGGCCAUUGUCUGCCUUGCACAGUCCUCUGCCCUUGGGGAAGGACAGAGCCCUGGAAGUAGAAAUGGGAAGCAAAAACAAACAGUGGCAAGGGGCUGCUGACCCCAGGGACAAGAACCACCUCCAACCCCCGCCCCCACUCCCUCCUCACUUAUUCACUGCAUACUAUGUAUGAGGCAUGGUGCCAAAUGGUAGAGGUACCAUGACAAAAAGACAAACUGUCCCUAUUAAUAGUUCUAUAUGUGUGAGUCAGUAAAUACAACGAGAGCUGAAGAAGGGGAGGGCAUUAACAGAUCUGGAUCACAUUAUACAGAAAGUCCAACAUUAACAGAUCAGGGUCACAUUAUAUAGAAAGUCCAACAUUAACAGAUCAGGAUCACAUUAUACGGAAAGUCCAAAGCAUUUCCUGCGAUGCUGGUGUUUGCUCUUGCCCAGAUCUCCUCACCUGGAGACACCAGGCUCUCCUCCUAGCCUGUUCUUCUACCACAUGGGCAGAGGUAGCCUCCAUCUUUAAAACUGGCUGCACUGGGACAGCCUCUCUUUGCUGCUGCAUCCAAAGGCGUAAGAGCCUGUGGUUCACCCACAGAGCCAGGGCCACAAACUGAGUCCCAAACAGAAAUCCCUUUCUCCAUGUUUCUCUUCCUUUAGGCCCUGUGGCCUGGAGUGUUUGUUGGCAAACAUGUUGGCAACAGUGCCUGGUGCCUAUGGUGAAGCUUGAGCCCUGGUGACCUUGGACUUCGGGUAGGCUAUUGCAGCCAGCUGGCCCAGCCAGGAGAAGCAAGGGUGCCACAGGGAGUUUUGGACUUAGAACUUGGAACUGAGGUUACCUGUGAACCUAAUCCCCUUCCUCUCCCCAGAGAAUAAAGUAGUAUGGAGUGGGGGUGGGGGAUUAAGCCCUGUGAUUUGGGGGAAUGUUUGUAUAUUUGUGAUUGUACCUUGGAAGUAAAUAUUGCUUUGUACAAGUCAGUGGUUAAGUAAGUAGAACUGGGGUGGAGGGGACCCCACCCCCUACAAAUGAGGGAAUGCCAUUGGUGGAGGCUGGAGCUAUUGGCAGAGAGCCCCCAACACCCCAACUCACCUUAUGGGCACCAGAGAAUCCUGGGGGAGGGAGAAUUGUAACACAUCUGGACUUAUGGAACCAAGGGCCAAGGUAGUAAGUAUCACACCAGCUUUCUAUUCACUCAGAACUGUCUUGCAAAGACAUUUAUUAAGAUAAGUGCUGCCAAAGAACACAGGCCCCUUAAGAGCAAAGACUAGCUUGUCUUUUCGUGCCUAGCACAGUACCCAGUAUGCAGCAGGUGCCCAAUAAAAGCUCCUCUGUUUUGAAAGA